CCUCUUUCAGUAUCUUGAAAGUUGACCAACCACUGUCAUUGACUAUCUCAUUCUCCCAUUUCAUCUGAGAUGGAAUUCUCUCAAAUUAUACCAAAGUUGGGCCGGGGAUGUAGCUCAGUGGCACCGAACCUGCCUGGCAAGUGCAAGGUCCUGAGUUCGAUCCUCGGGAAACAAAAUGCACAUGGAAAUUAUACCAAAGUAAAACCCCAGGAUCCUUAAAGAGGCCCCGUUGACUCAAUACCCUUUUUGCUUUCCUUAGUUUGGAUUAGUUUGAUCUAGUUCAUUUCAGGUGCCCUGCACCUGCUGUCUAUCCACCCAUCCGUCCAUCUACUGAUUCAUCCAUCCCUCCUUUGUUCUUUUAAUAACAGUUCUUGAGUUCCUUCUAUGCAUUAGGCACUGUCCUAAAAGCUAAUAGAAAUACAGAUAAGAUAUGGAAUCUUUAAGAAGAUAAGUAUCUAGUAGAUGGAUGGUGUCCUCAUUCUAUUUAACCAAUGCGUCUCCCUUUUCUACAGAUAUUAUCCUUUGUCAUCUCUCAAGUCAGCAAGUGCUCCCUCUCAACCAGAUCAUUGCCAUCAGCCUGCUCUAUGGUUUCUUCCCUACUGUGCUACUGAAACCAACCUCUGCAAAUCUGCCUACAAUCUACACUGGCCAAACUUGAAGCCAUAAACUUGGAGCCCUGCUGGAUGGAAAUGACCAAUUUACCUGAGCUGAAACCAACACAGGUGGAGAGUACUAAGAAACAUUUAUAUGCUUGAAAGGAUUUUUACCCAUGGCCCAGGAAAAGACCAC